UUUCUCCUUCAACUUCACUUAAAAAAAAAACCCUAUUCUCCGUUUUUCAAAUUAAAUUAGCAUCGUCUUCCUUUUGGCCUUUUCAUUGUCUUCAAUCCAGUAAAACUUUGAAGAUUUGAAAUUUGUGCAUUGACGGCUUCUUCAAUGACAAAGUUAUUGGCUUUGGUGUUAGUAUUGAAAGAAAUCAAGAAAGAAGAAUACUAAAAUCAACUGUAAAUGCCUACAGCAACAUACCCGCCACCAUCGCUGUAUUGCAAGCUCUACGAGGACUAUAUACAGUAUCCAAACUCUGCUCCUGAGCCACCGCCCCCAAUCCCAGGCACCUAUGUUCUCUACGGUGCAAAUUACACAAACCUUGAUUAUCAUUUUUUAUUUAUUUAUUUAUUAUUAUUAUUUUUUUUUUGCUUUUGUAUGUAAGUUUCUAAAUUAAAGUUAGCUUUCUUAUAAUGGAUUUGUGAAAUAGCAUUUCAUUAUGGUGAUAGUCAAAAGGGUCUUUUUAAUCAUUCACCAGGUUUUCUUUUUAUUAGUUAUGGGUUUGAAUUAAAGAUGAUGUUGAAUAAAUAAUGGUGAAGGAAAGAAGGAAAUUGGUCUGUACUAAUUAAGCAAUUUCAUUUUUGAAUUUUGAUCCUUUAGGAGAUGUUAAUAACUUUUUCAUGAUUGCCAUGUAUUGGAAAUAUUUCAAUUAAAAUGUGGAGCAUAUGUAAGCUAGUUCUCUAUAUAUUGUUAUUUAUUGCUCUGAAACUAAAUAAGUCAAUCCUUAUUGUAAAAAUUCAAUUGCCAAAAGUUUAUUUAUUUUCUUUUGAAUAUGUAAAAGGAUAACCUUGUUUUAAACUUUUUAUGUAGAUUGAUGAUGUGCUUCCUACUCAAUUAGAGUAUGGCGUCCAUCAGUUGUACCCAAAACGGUAAAAUGUUGGUAUGAUUUGCAUAUUGCAUCACUUUUUGACAGUAGUUUUGAAUGUGAAGGAUAUUUAAUCAGCUGUUAUACCACUUUAUUGCCAUCAAUAGGCAUUUUAGUAUCAAAUUUUCAAGCAGUGUGUUGGCUUUUUUGCUUUGCUGUUAUUUGAUGAUCAUUUGUACCCGUGGAGGUUUAAUAUAUUUGAGCUUGUACAAUUUUCUUCAUUUAUGCUCAGAGUUUGUAAGUAAUUCGCUCGGUUUCAUCUAACAGCAAGCUCGCAAGAUGCAAUUGGCUUCCAUAUAGCUGUGGUUUUCACUGCUUCUGUAGAUUAUCAAAAAGUUAUCUCUUGUCAAACUAUAUAGUAUUUUCUUUAGGCACUGCUGAUUAGAUAGGCAGUAUAGGAGUCUUGUAAUUCUUGGUGGAUACACUUAUCCAUUUUAUUGAAGGUCUCACUGUAUUUACAUUGCAUGUGUUUUCAUGACCAAUAUCAGACCUCAUAAUUGUUUGACAUGUUGCAUUGAUGCUAUGACUUCGAUCGAAAUUUGUGCAAGCUCAGUUUAAUAUAGAUUUGGUUUGUCGAGAAUAUAUGUCCAAUUGGAGGAAGAAGUUAGCCGUGAAGAUAUUUUUACAGCAUUUGGAUCCGUAGAUUUAGAUAAUUUUUUAAAUUACUUUUUUUCUUUUUUCUGGGAGAUUAAUUUUUAAUUGUACAUCUUUGCUUUGAGUUAAUUGUUGAUGCGUGUCUUUAUAGUGUCGAU
rnacentral:lncRNA from 1 species